UCCAAUCCAGUAAUCCAUCUUCAUGUAUAUUAAGAUUAAGAAAAAAAAUUACAACUUUGUAUCUAAUUUGUUUUCUCCUAAUUUAUUAUUGAGAAAUGAUCAACUCAUUCAUUCUUUUAUAUUUUUGCUCAAAUACUUAAUCUAUUCUAAUUCUACUUUCUAAACAUGACAUAAGGGAUUAUUGAUAUAAUUUAUUUUUGCUGUAUCAUUUUUAACUUUGAGAUGUAGUUUAGCUUUCUCAUUGCCACUCCUGGCCUAUUUUGAUGUUACCCUUGUGCAUUAGUAUUAUCUUUGAGCUAAUGAACAACUCAGUCAUGUGUGCUAUUGGUGAGGAACUAUGUGCAAGGAUUUUCCAAAUGCUUCUGUUCAGUAUCUUAUUGGUUUUGUUUGGAAUGUUUUUUAAAAUGGGAGUGAUAUAUACAUUGUAUUGUUUCACUGGUCAAUAAAUUGUUAUGUAAACAUUUGCUGAAGUAAAAAAAAGUUAUUGAUAAUUGCCCAAAAUGAGAGGCAAGAAUGUACUUGUGUGGUAAUACCAAACCAAAUUAGACAAGUGGUUGGUUCUUGAGCUAAGCCUUGGAAAUCUUAGUGCAAAUUGCUUUGAAAAUUUUAAGCACUUUUUUAAUAUACUAUUGUCAAGUUUCCAAUAGUUAUUCCUUGAGUCUUUAUUUUCUAUCAAGGCGGUAGCUCAAACAGUCCGGGCUUUAUUUGCUCUUACAAAUCUGAGGUUCGAGUCUCUCUUGAGUACCUACGUAGCAAUUGCUAUAGUUUUCUCGUCCCCAAUAUUGUAUGUUAGGCGUAGAGCUUAGCUUUUUUUUUUCAUCAGACAAAGUUUUGUUUACUGUUUCCUAAAUCUCCAGCUUUAUGCAAAAGAUGCAUCAAAGAAUUGGAAGCUUGUUGGAUCAGAUGGAGGCUACCUUUUGACAACAAAAGAGCCAUCAGCAAAUGUGGUCCUAUUGGAUUAUAUUUCAACUGAAAAAUGGCAAGACGUGGUAGAUUUUGAUGACCACCUUGAUGACAUUAGCAAAGAUUGGCUAAACCCAGAACUCUUCAAGUAAUUUGGCCAUGUUAGCAUUUUUU